CUUCACCACCUCUUUCUUCCAAGUCCCGCGUGACAAGAUUGGCAUCAGAGUGACCCGUCUGCCAACUGGCUUCUUGGCACCACCGGCAUGAGUGCAACAUGUCAGUGCGGCGUUUUGACACCGCCGGAGUGGCCACUUGGGUCGGGCUCGCACAUGGGACACAUCGCAUCAACCACGACUGCCUGGGAUGAACUACUCGCUGCCGUGGGAAAUUGGAGGUUGCACCGUCGGCUCAGAACAACAAGUGACUACACCGCAAGCGUGCCGUAUCAGUGGUGCGGGGAAUCAAUACGCCGGGAAUGUGGCCAACAAGAGCGAUAGAAGAAUUGGUGAGAGAUGGAGAUGGAUGCUGGAAAGAGCAGCUUAUUCCCCAUGACAUCAUAAGCCCCAUUCCUUUGUUCCCCACCACUUCAUUCUCCCCAAACACCAACAACUUUUCACGCCAUCCGCACCUCGUGCCCCAGUUUAUAGUGCGGGGGGGGGGGGUAUGAAGGUUGGGGUGGAAAGGAUACUGUUGAUGAGAUGACAGCUGCGCCAGUCAAGGGGCAAGGGCGUGGGUACGGACGCCCAGCGUCAUCUUUCCGCAGGCUUCCGUGGUAGUCAUCCCCGUGUCAUCCCCUUCCCGUCAUGCCCACUGAAGCCUCCUGUCCCCAGGUUCUUUCAUCCCGUGCACUCGUGCUGCCACUAACACUGGAGGGCGGGGGGGGGGACAUGUGCAUUUUUUAUUUAAAAGCACAAUGCCCAGAUGUCUUAAGUACUACUGCGCAUUUAUAGGGGAUUUGUACACAGUUACACAACAUUCACUACAUUUUUGUAAUUUAAAUAUAAUGAAAAUAAAUCUGGUGUGCACGUGGUUUCAACAUUCUUUAUGCAGAUUUUUUUGUUUUCUACAUUAUGAUAAAGUCACACACACUCUCUGUGGUUUUCUCAUUUUUUUAUAACAUUCUAAAUCCAUAGUAAUUCCAGACAAAAUACAUGGUCCUCGGCAGUUCUUGUAAAAAUGUCAUUAAAAAUAAAUAUGCUUCUUUCGGGUAAAAUGGUGAAAAAAACCAUGUAAAAGGCUGCAUGUCAUGCUUUACGUGGUAAGUUGGGUUUUAUAAGAUGACAAAUAUCUGGCUUUCUGGCAAAGGCAGCUUUUACCAUUUGACUUCGAGGCAUCAUGUCAAACUACGCGCGGAUUUGUCUCCGAAAUGCAGAAAAAUCAUGGAUUAUAUAUAACGCAUUUACUCACUGAACAAAAACCCAUAGAUUGGAUAUGUACGUCUAAAAUCGGUGGAUGUUAUGCAUAGUUUAUCUCUAGAAUUUCUAGAGGCUUUGGUGCCAUAUAAUAGAUUAGCUGAGAAAAGUAUUCUGGUUAUGCCCAGCGAAGUAUGGAUCUUUUUAAUGUAACAUAUUAAACUUCUCUAAGUGCAAUCUUACCGGAGUAAUAGUCAUGUUCAACUGCAGAUGCAUUAAGGAAGAAGGUCGAAAGCAAUUAUAGAAGUAGUCGCUGCAUUUUAUGACAGCACUGCCAAUUUAUCAGCGCAAGCUUUAAAGAGUAACUUCAACAAACUUCCAGAUAUGUUUUUGUUCAAAUACACCGAGCAAAGUGAGAUAAUAAUAAGAGAAAGAAAAGACAAUUUCUUUCCGCGUGUAAGUUGAACCAUGGGAUGUAACGAAAGCUGACAAAGCAGAUUAGGGACGAAAACUGCUCAAUUUCUGCUGCAGUAUAUAACUGGACAAAUUCUGUGCCUCGAUUAUUAAAUAUUCCUUGCAUAUUUUGCAU